AUCUUGGCUCAAGCCUAAGGCUCCGCCCCCCUCCGCGCCGCUCCUCCGGAGGAGCGGAACUGGAGGAGAGGGGCGUGGCCAGGCACCUCCUCUCUGACGCCUUUUAAGUGGCGCCACCGCAGUUAGUUUGCAAGUUGGAAGUCGUAGUUCUCGGUCCCGGGACUCUAGACGGUCGCGGAAGGCACUAGAGAGUAGUGGUUAUCUAAUCGCUGAGCAAACCCAAGCGCGUGUGGUGCACGCUGGGCUCGCUUCCCUGCCCCACAGGGAUCGCCCGGCCACCGACGUCCGCGCUGACGGGCUCAGACUCGGAAGCCAGGUCCGCAGGAUGAAGCGCCUGACAGCGGCGGCCGAUGGGAAGCUCUUGCUCAGUUAGGUGAAUGAGAGGGUUAAACCUACCGAGACCGGGCGCUGCCACUUCCUAGAGCGGCAUUUCCGGUUCCGGGGCCGGCCCCGGGCCCCACCCCACCCUGGGUGGGGAAAGGCUCGCGGCGACCCUCCCCUUCCGAGCGGCGUGGCUGGCGUCUGGGAGAGCUCUUUCUUCGCUGCGCCGUAGUGCGCGUCGCCGGAAGUGGCGAGGGGAGCCGGAGGGGGCGGCGCGGUGCGGGAGGGGGCGGCGCGGUGCGGGAGGGGGACGUCCGGAUCUGGGGCGCCCGGAGCUCCGCGCCCCGCCCCGCCGUGUGCACGCCCCAGCCAGCCUCCUGGGAAACAGGCCCGAAUGCCGCUGGCGGUCAGGCUCUGGCCCAGGGAGGAAGCCGUUAGCAGGACCAACUGCCUUGCGCUCCCCAAGGCCGCGGAGUGCUGGGAGGUGCGCUGACCGGAGCCCGCUUCCCGGGCCUCUUUCACGCAGAAGUGAUGUGGGAAACAGAGGCGGAAGAGAAGUGGUUCCACUUCCUUGCUGCCCGCAGACCCCGGGCAAGCCCGUGAAAGAGGCAGAGGGACAUUCCUCUAGGGACUCGACGGCCUCAGUGUUACUGCUGGGCUGAGGGCCAAGGGCGAUCCUAGCUCCACCCACCCCCACCCCCGCCGUGCUCAGGAUCCUGUAAAUCUAUUUUAACAUAAAAAUUCUUUAGAAACUUCCUUUAGCUCUGUCCCCUAAGAUACAUGUUAGCAAUCGUCCCCCAAGCAUAUGACCCACUGAUCCACAUCUUCAGGGCCUCAUGUCUAAGUUUCCACUAAACAGUAGUGGUCUUUCCUAGUAACAGCUAGCCCCCGCAGGAUCCUGGAAUCCUUGUUUCCAAAAUACCUGGGAGGCUUACACUAGCCCUAACCCUCUCCCAACUUGAAAGUAUAGAAUGGGCCCUCCUCAUGACCCCAUGGCAGCUCUUUCUGCUCACAGGUCAUGUCCCUGUACUUUAAAUAAAACUACCUUUUUGCACCA